rnacentral:rRNA from 1 species
CCUACGGGGGGCAGCAGUGGGGAAUAUUGCACAAUGGGCGAAAGCCUGAUGCAGCAACGCCGCGUGAAUGAUGAAGGCCUUCGGGUCGUAAAAUUCUGUCCUUAAGGAAGAUAAUGACGGUACUUAAGGAGGAAGCCCCGGCUAACUACGUGCCAGCAGCCGCGGUAAUACGUAGGGGGCUAGCGUUAUCCGGAUUUACUGGGCGUAAAGGGUGCGUAGGUGGUUUUUCAAGUCAGAAGUUAAAGGCUACGGCUCAACCGUAGUAAGCUUUUGAAACUGGAAAACUUGAGUGCAGGAGAGGAAAGUGGAAUUCCCAGUGUAGCGGUGAAAUGCGUAGAUAUUGGGAGGAACACCAGUAGCGAAGGCGGCUUUCUGGACUGUAACUGACACUGAGGCACGAAAGCGUGGGUAGCAAACAGGAUUAGAUACCCU